rnacentral:misc_RNA from 1 species
ACGCAUGAUUACGGCGUCAAAAUGCGCAACGUGGUCAAGUUUCUCAACAACGGUGACAAAGUCAAAGUCACGCUGCGCUUUCGCGGCCGUGAGAUGGCGCACCAGAACUUGGGCCGCGAACUUCUGGAGCGUAUCGCAGAUGACGUGAUCGCAGCAGAGCUCGGCAAGAUCGAGAACUUCCCCAAGAUGGAAGGCCGCCAAAUGGUUAUGCUGAUCGGUCCAACCGCAAGCAAAUGAUCUCGCUCGCACGAAUAGACACGCCCCGCCUAAUCCGCGGGGCGUUUUGCGUUUGAAAGGAACCUCUCAUGUGGGAAGAGCGCUACAAAACCCCUGA